rnacentral:misc_RNA from 1 species
UCACUACUUGCGUAGGCAGUCUGGCUAGAGUCCCCACCAUAACGUGCUGGUAACUAACCACAGGGGUUGCGCUCGUUGCGCCACUUAAGGCAACACCUCACGGCACGAGCUGACGACAGCCAUGUACCACCUGUACACCACCAAAAGAAACCACAUCUCUGCGGCGGCAUGGUGUAUGUCAAACCCAGGUAAGGUUCUUCGCGUUGCAUCGAAUUAAUCCGCAUGCUCCACCGCUUGUGCGGGCCCC